GACGAACGCUGGCGGCGUGCUUAACACAUGCAAGUCGAACGGAAAGGCCCUGCUUUUGUGGGGUGCUCGAGUGGCGAACGGGUGAGUAACACGUGAGUAACCUGCCCUUGACUUUGGGAUAACUUCAGGAAACUGGGGCUAAUACCGGAUAGGAGCUCCUGCUGCAUGGUGGGGGUUGGAAAGUUUCGGCGGUUGGGGAUGGACUCGCGGCUUAUCAGCUUGUUGGUGGGGUAGUGGCUUACCAAGGCUUUGACGGGUAGCCGGCCUGAGAGGGUGACCGGCCACAUUGGGACUGCGAUACGGCCCAGACUCCUACGGGAGGCAGCAGUGGGGAAUAUUGCACAAUGGGCGGAAGCCUGAUGCAGCAACGCCGCGUGCGGGAUGAAGGCCUUCGGGUUGUAAACCGCUUUCGCCUGUGACGAAGCGUGAGUGACGGUAAUGGGUAAAGAAGCACCGGCUAACUACGUG
rnacentral:rRNA from 1 species